AUUCCAGCUUCAGUAGCGUAUAUUAAAGUUGUUGCAGUUAAAAAGCUCGUAGUCGCAUUUCUGGCGAGAGGAAUUGGUCCGACAUUUAUUGUGGGUACUCGAUUCUCUCUCGCCAUCCUUGAGUGGUCCGUUCUGGCAUUUAGUUGUCGGAGCGUCAGCCGCUCAUCGUUUACUGUGAGAAAAUUAGAGUGUUCAAAGCAGGCUUAUGCCGUUGAAUAUAUUAGCAUGGAAUAAUAAGAUAGGACCUCGGUGCUAUUUUGUUGGUUUGCGCACAGAGGUAAUGAUGAACAGGGACAGUUGGGGGUAUUUGUAUUUCGUUGUCAGAGGUGAAAUUCUUAGAUUUACGAAAGACAAACUACUGCGAAAGCAUUUACCAAGGAUGUUUUCAUCA
rnacentral:rRNA from 1 species